AACGAACGCUGGCGGCAUGCCUAACACAUGCAAGUCGAACGAGACCUUCGGGUCUAGUGGCGCACGGGUGCGUAACGCGUGGGAAUCUGCCCUUGGGUUCGGAAUAACAGCGAGAAAUUGCUGCUAAUACCGGAUGAUGACGUAAGUCCAAAGAUUUAUCGCCCAAGGAUGAGCCCGCGUAGGAUUAGCUAGUUGGUGAGGUAAAGGCUCACCAAGGCGACGAUCCUUAGCUGGUCUGAGAGGAUGAUCAGCCACACUGGGACUGAGACACGGCCCAGACUCCUACGGGAGGCAGCAGUGGGGAAUAUUGGACAAUGGGCGAAAGCCUGAUCCAGCAAUGCCGCGUAGGUGAUGAAGGCCUUAGGGUUGUAAAGCUCUUUUACCCGGGAUGAUAAUGACAGUACCGGGAGAAUAAGCUCCGGCUAACUCCGUGCCAGCAGCCGCGGUAA
rnacentral:rRNA from 1 species